AGCAGCUGCAGCCCUAUAGUGGCCAUUUUGCAACUGACUGCUGCAUCUCCUUUCCUUCGAACUGUGACACCACACCACCACCUUGUGGCUUUUUAAUGAAUAAACAUAUUGAUGAGAGAAUCAGAUGUUUCCAUUUCCAAGCAGGAUCCAUUCAGAACUGUACAGCUGCUGCACACUCUGCUGGUUCACAUAGAGGAUAACAGCAUGCUUUCCCCCUACAAACUACUCCUGUAGUGGAAAUGGAAAAGGUCUGUGCUAUGGAUGUGAAGUUUGGGACUUAGAACUCUGCUAGUGAUCCUUGCAGGGGUGAAAAACAAUGUACAUAUAUG